AGGAGAAAUAUUCAUAACCUGUGGCAUUAGAAAGGGGUGCAGGGUGCUGAGCUGUUGUCAUGGUCAGCUGUGGCAUCUCUGAUGCAUCUUGAUGCAUCUGGUGCAAAUCCAGGCUCUGGUUCACGUCCUGUCCUAGCAUCUGCUCCUGCUGUAGCUUGCUGUGUUCACUUAUUUGAGAUUGGAAUAUAUUAUUGUUGUCCUGUCCAUGGUAUUUGCUGUGCCAUCCAGUUGUACGGUUCACAAACU
rnacentral:lncRNA from 1 species